GAGGGAAGCUCCAUGGUACUGUUGCCAUGGUGAUAAUGGCUGUGCCAUGUCAUUGUCAAUCCACCAACAGUCAGAGAAGAUUUGCAGUCAAGAUAUUGUUUAGCAGACAGAGCAGUUUUGGUUGGACACUAAGUACUGCUCCAAAA